UGAUAUUUUGAACCUGAAACU
ensembl:piRNA 21ur-6383 ncRNA